rnacentral:rRNA from 1 species
CCUACGGGUGGCAGCAGUGGGGAAUAUUGCACAAUGGGGGAAACCCUGAAGCAGCCACGCCGCGUGAGUGAAGAAGUAUCUAGGUAUGGUAAGCUCCAUCUGCAGGGAAGAAAAAGACGGUACGUGACGAAGUAGCCACGGAUAACUCCGAGCCAGCAGCCGCGGUAAUGCGGAGGGUGCCAGCGUUAUACGGAUUUACUGGGUGUUAAGGGAGCGUAGUAGGCUUUGAGAGUCCGGAGUGAAAGCGCUGGGCUCAACCGUGGAACUGCUGUGGAAACUGUGGAGCUUGAGUGCGGGAGGGGCAGGCGGAAUUCGUAGUGUAGCGGUGAAAUGCGUAGAUAUUAGGAAGAACACCGACUGCGAAGGCAGCCUGCUGGACCGUAACUGACGCUGAUGCUCGAAAGCGUGGGGAGCAAACAGGAUUAGAUACCCUGGUAGUC